rnacentral:rRNA from 1 species
GUGGGUAGUUUGACUGGGGCGGUCUCCUCCUAAAGAGUAACGGAGGAGCACGAAGGUUGGCUAAUCCUGGUCGGACAUCAGGAGGUUAGUGCAAUGGCAUAAGCCAGCUUGACUGCGAGCGUGACGGCGCGAGCAGGUGCGAAAGCAGGUCAUAGUGAUCCGGUGGUUCUGAAUGGAAGGGCCAUCGCUCAACGGAUAAAAGGUACUCCGGGGAUAACAGGCUGAUACCGCCCAAGAGUUCAUAUCGACGGCGGUGUUUGGCACCUCGAUGUCGGCUCAUCACAUCCUGGGGCUGAAGUAGGUCCCAAGGGUAUGGCUGUUCGCCAUUUAAAGUGGUACGCGAGCUGGGUUUAGAACGUCGUGAGACAGUUCGGUCCCUAUCUGCCGUGGGCGCUGGAGAACUGAGGGGGGCUGCUCCUAGUACGAGAGGACCGGAGUGGACGCAUCACUGGUGUUCGGGUUGUCAUGCCAAUGGCACUGCCCGGUAGCUAAAUGCGGAAGAGAUAAGUGCUGAAAGCAUCUAAGCACGAAACUUGCCCCGAGAUGAGUUCUCCCUGACUCUUUAAGGGUCCUGAAGGAACGUUGAAGACGACGACGUUGAUAGGCCGGGUGUGUAAGCGCAGCGAUGCGUUGAGCUAACCGGUACUAAUGAACCGUGAGGCUUAACCUU